AGGGUUCGAUUCUGGCUCAGGAUUAACGCUGGCGGCAUGCCUAAUACAUGCAAGUCGAAUGGACUAGCUUGCUAGUCCAUGGCGAACGGGUGAGUAACACGUAGGUAACCUACCUUAAGGACGAGGAUAACCUUUGGAAACGAAGGAUAAUACUGGAUAGGACAUUACAAAUCACAUGAUUAAAUGUUUAAAGGAGCAAUCCACCAUAAGAGGGGCCUGCGGCGCAUUAGCUAGUUGGUGAGGUAAGGGCCCACCAAGGCGAUGAUGCGUAGCUGGACUGAGAGGUUGAACAGCCACAAUGGGACUGAGAACGGCCCAUACUCCUACGGGAGGCAGCAGUAGGGAAUUUUCGGCAAUGGACAAAAGUCUGACCGAGCCAAUGCCGCGUGAUCGAAGAAGUAUUUCGGUAUGUAAAGAUCUUUUAUUUGGGAAGAAAAACAAAUUGACUGAACCAAAUGAAUAAGCUCCGGCUAACUACGUGCCAGCCGCAGC
rnacentral:rRNA from 1 species